AUGUUCCGGUUGAUAUUCUUCCUAUUCUCGGUGCAAUUCCUCGCGCUAAAAGUGAUGACCGUGGGAUCAAAUCUUGAAGCAGAAAUAGUCGCGAGGCUGGAAAAGGUCUAUCGAAUCCAGGGAAUUCAACUGAACUUGCCAUUAAGGGCGCAAUCCUCAUCCCGGCGGGAAACUUUUCCCACCCUGAUAUCGACCCAAAUUACCCUGAUUUCGACCCGAACUUGGAAGGAGCUCUGGAGACAAGGGAAUCAGACAAGGGGUGUUGCCUGCUCCUCUACAGCCGCUACAUGAAGGCGAGGGGUCGUGACACGUUCUACCCCACGCUUUCACCGGACCGCGAAACCCUUCCCCUGCCACCCCCGCCGGACGACAUCGUGGAGUACACGGCGAGCGGCGAGCGAGUCCCCUAUUUUCGGACGCAGGUUUAUUUGAAUUGGUAUAAUAACAGAGAGCCAAGACCCAAGAGCAAAGACCUAAAACGAGUAGAGGGGGCUGAGAAAUUCCUGAAGCGAAUCGAACCCUUUUUGCACAUGUGCUGCUGUUGCUGCAUAUCGCAUUGGUGCGAUAGUGUUUGAAUCGGGGUUCUUUUUGUGAACUUGAAUGAAAUCAAAAGAAACAAUGUACAUACCGGUAUGUACUUUAAACCAACAUAUCAAAAAUAAUUAAUUACUAAUCAUUUAAUUAAAAACCCAAGAAAAGGUGGAAACCCAGAUAUUCCUAGACCAUAUAUGCAAAUUACAAUCUUCUCAUUCAAGUUUAUAGAAUGAACCUUAAAUUGAUUGAUAUAGAAAAUACCAUGUUUAGACAAUAUACUAAUUAAUCACCAAAGUAUAAACAUAUAACUUAUAAAAUAAAGAAGACAUAGAUUUAACCUAAUUCUUAUACUACACAGCUGGCUAUGUGCUCCACGGUUCAUUUUGACUAGAUAUAUUUAGAAAUAUUUCCUCUUAGCUCGAGUGCGUAUAAUGUUAGAUACAUUUUAAUGCCAAUUUGACUGGCUUUCAUAGAACAUGGUAAAAUGAUUGAAAAAAUAAUCGAGCCACAAGCCAAAAAUAAAUUAGACAAAUAAUACUUAAAACUACGUAGAGAUGAGAAAUAAUAAAAAACUUACAGGAAACAAAACAAAACAAACGUUUCGACCGACAACAACUGCGGUCUUCUUCAGUGCAACAAGUGGAAACAUUUUACAAAAACAAAUUUAAAAAAAUAUAUAAAGAAGCUACAAAACUGUUGGCAAACUAAGUAAAUAGCGCAAAUAUAUAUCUAAUGCAACUUUUAGAAUACAAUUAAAGCGAAAUUCAAGAGGAAAGAAGAGUGAUAGCAGUGAUAAGAAGGAAGUAUUUUCGCUUUACUUACUUUGCCAAUAGUUUUGUAGAUUUUUUAUAUAUUUUUUAAAUUUGUUUUUGUAAAUAAUGUUUCCGCUUGUUGCACUGAAGAAAACCGAAGUUGUUGUCGGUUGAAACGUUUUAUUUGUUUUGUUUCCUGUAAGUUUUUUAUUAUUUCUCAUCUCUAUGUAGUUUGAGGUAUUAUUUGUUUAAUUUAUUUUGGCUUAUAGCUCGAUUAUUUUUUCAAUCAUUUUACCAUAUAAUGUUAGAUGUUACUUUUAAUUUCUGAUUGAUCUAAUAAAUCAAUAUCAUGUUUUAUUAAAGGCAGUAUUUUAAGAUUAAGCAUUGAUUUUACUUUUAAUUUUUGAUUGAGUGAAAAUAGUGUUACGGAAUAAAUCACACUUGUUAUUUCA
rnacentral:lncRNA from 1 species